rnacentral:RNase_P_RNA from 1 species
UGAGUUUGUUAUACGGUCGCGGGGUCUUUUAAGACCAUGAGGAAAGUCCGAGCAGCAUAGGACAGGGUGCCUGAUAACGUCAGGUGAAGGCGACUUCAAGGAAAGUGCAACAGAAAUAAACCGCAGGGCUUUCGCCCUGUAAGGAUGGAAAGGCGAGGUAAGAGCUCACCGAUAUCGCGGUAACGCGGUAUGCCAUGUAAACCCCACCCGCUGCAAGAUUGGGUACCUGCCACAUAGGGCUGUCCGUCCGGCAGGAUACCGUGAAUAUCGCUUGAACUUGCCGGCGACGGCAAGUCUAGAUAGAUGACCGUACACGACAGAACUCGGCUUACAGACAGACUCAAAUC